ensembl:lncRNA
UUAUUUGUUUUGAAUUCAUGGACACUCAUCAUUCACUGCUACUCUAACAAACUAGCAUUACUUAUAUCUUAUACAUCUGUUCCAUCCAUUUUUCAGUUUGAGAAACCCUACACUGGUGGAAACGGAGAAUCGGUGUCAUCCAAGGAUUCCGCCAACUACAGCAGUAAUGAAAUCUUCAGCAACCACAGUACAAAAGUGUUUGAGAUUGAGAGGGGUGUGCAGAAGCUGGAUCUGACGGGAAAGAGACGUGUGCAGUUGCGAGCAGGGUCAGAGGUCAACCUCGUGAGCGUGGGGACAAAGCCAGCUAAACGGAACUCCUUCAGACGCUCCCUCGCUUUCUGCACUGAACGAGCACAGGGUGGCUUUCUGACCCCACUCUUGAGAAGAACUGCCUCAGCAAAAAGCACCCUGAAGAAAGCCCCGUCUGCCCUGUUUAUGGAUCACGGCAGGGUCUUCCAGAGGAAGAAGGAGUGGGAAACCAAAGCUUCAGGUUGACAUCAAGAGAAGACUCUCUCACAUCCCCCUCAUAUUGUCAAUAUAAUAUUGCACUGAAAAUAAUAAUCUUUCCAAGCAUGUGGAUCAUGCAGUGGUUUGGAUUUGUAAAGUUUGUGUUCUUUUUUUGGGGUACGUGGUACUUUUAAGUAGGGAUGGGCGAUAUCUUAUCGUUUGCGAUAUACCGGUAAAAAUUCUCCCCACGAUAAAAAUUAGUCUUCCCACGAUAAUAACGAUAAAGUCUAGUUGAUGACACAUUUCUAUGUGCGACUGUGUGGAGUGAUGUGAAGGAAUGCGGACGUGAAAUUGAGCAGCUCCUCCUACAAUCUGGAACAGGUUUGGAUAACGCUGUACAGUGCGACAAAAAUCGGUCAGAGCCUUGAAUAAAUGUACUACAAUAGCACGUGUGCA